rnacentral:rRNA from 1 species
GAUGAACGCUGGCGGCGUGCCUAAUACAUGCAAGUCGAGCGAACAGACGAGGAGCUUGCUCCUCUGACGUUAGCGGCGGACGGGUGAGUAACACGUGGAUAACCUACCUAUAAGACUGGGAUAACUUCGGGAAACCGGAGCUAAUACCGGAUAAUAUAUUGAACCGCAUGGUUCAAUAGUGAAAGACGGUUUUGCUGUCACUUAUAGAUGGAUCCGCGCCGCAUUAGCUAGUUGGUAAGGUAACGGCUUACCAAGGCAACGAUGCGUAGCCGACCUGAGAGGGUGAUCCGCCACACUGGAACUGAGACACGGUCCAGACUCCUACGGGAGGCAGCAGUAGGGAAUCUUCCGCAAUGGGCGAAAGCCUGACGGAGCAACGCCGCGUGAGUGAUGAAGGUCUUCGGAUCGGAAAACUCUGUUAUUAGGGAAGAACAAAUGUGUAAGUAACUACGCUCGUCUUGACGGUACCUAAUCAGAAAGCCACGGCUAACUACGUG